GAGAAGCCGUACAAGUGUGAGACGUGCGGCUCGCGCUUUGUACAGGUACGGAGCCAGUCUCCAAGUGGCUUCCAAGGCAAACCUGCAAGAGGUGGGGUGGGCCAAUAGGGAGGGUUCUGUUCCUCCCAGAGGCAGGACUUGAAGUCUCCUCCCUCCCAGGUGGCACAUCUGCGGGCGCACGUGCUGAUCCACACCGGGGAGAAGCCCUACCCUUGCCCUACCUGCGGAACCCGCUUCCGCCACCUGCAGACCCUCAAGAGCCACGUUCGCAUCCACACCGGAGAGAAGCCUUACCACGAACCAGUGACUUCAUGAAGUUUCUCCGGAGCCACCUGCAUCCUGCUGCUCUGAAGUCACUUCCUGCCUGAGGUGUGGAGGCGGCAGGGAGAAACCAGGAAGCCACUAAUAAUAUCAAGAGGCCGGGGCGUGCAUCUGUGCUGGAGAUCUUAAUGCUCGGGACAUGCCUCCAUCACCAAGGAAAAUGGAUAAGACUUGGGUCCCGUAAAGACCACAGGGGCUG
rnacentral:sRNA from 1 species